AAAAAAAAAUGUUGGUCUCCAUUUCCCUGUCUCUUGCUGUAUGUACCUAGAUAUCACCUUUAGUCAUCAACAGAAAGAUAUCAACAAUAAUCUAGAUCUCAACCUCUAUUCAGCAACAGCUAGAAAAUGAAAAGGUGAUUUGAACCAAAGAAAGGAAGAUAAAGGAACAAAAGACAAAAAAUCCUGAACAAACGAGUAGUGAAAAUUCACGUUCAGAUGUUGCAGAUUUGACUAUAGUGGAAUGAUAAAGAAGGUACACAUCUUGAAGCUCAGUGCUGCCCUAGCCUCACACACACGGUAGGCUAGGUUGUGUAUACAGUUAAGAACAAAAGACCUACUGUUUCAACCCACAAGGUUAGUUCUAAACGCUAAAGGACCCACAGGAAGCCCCGCCUGGUGAAAAGCAGCUGUGAGGUCUGGCGCCCUGAACUGCCUCAGACUGGGUCCUUCCUGGCCUGCUACAGGCUCACCUUCAUGCUCAGGUCUGCCAUGGGCAUCAGGCUCCUCUACUGUGUGGUCACUUGGCUCCUGGGGACAGGUCUCACAAUUGCGGACAUCACCCAGAACCCAAGAUACCUGAUCAGGAGGAGAGGACAAGAGGCAGCUCUGAGAUGUAGCCCAGAGAAAGGUCACAACAAUGUUUUCUGGUAUCAGCAGCUCCCUGAAGAAGGUCUGAAAUUCAUGUCUCACCUCCAAAAAGAAAACGUCAUCAAUGACUCAGGAAUGCCAAGAAAACGAUAUUCUGCUGAAUUUCCCAGAGAGGGACCCAGCACCCUGAAGAUGGAGCCAGCUGACCUGGAAGACUCGGCAGUGUACAUCUGUGCCAGCUCCACAUCCACAUCAGUGCAGACUCAUGUCACUGCCAGGCACAAACAUCUUCCAGGAGUUAAUUUUUGUUUCUCAUUAAACAAACAGAGCAAAAAGAAGUUGUGAGUGGCAGAGACAGGAUUCAAACUCAUAUUUGUGUGGAUGGAGAUGCUGUGAUUUUAUAUACUGUCAUGCUGCUGGAUAUUCUUUCUGGCAAAAUCCUCAUCUUGCUCUUUGCCCAGUGCCUGUGCAGCUUUGCAUGGACGCCAGGACAUAGGGUAUCUGAGAGAUGGGGGAAAGCAACAGUGGAUAAAUUGGUCUAGAAUUUAGAAAAAAUUUCUGGCCUACAGCUCCUGUUCAUGAGAAAUGUACAUUUCAAAUGUAUUUUAUCAUGAUGAAUAUUUUUUAAUUAUCACUCAGAAAACAUUGGGCAUCCUACAAAAAAAGAGUCUGCUAUCAUUUGCUUUAAUGAAGCGAUUUCUAAAAACCAAAUGGCAGACAAAUGCAAAGUAACCUAAAUGCCCAUGUACCAAAUGAAGCAGAGCUUCCUAGCAUGGAGCGUAAACUGUAGUGUCCUGCACUUUUGGUCUUUUGGGGUUUUUUGUUUGUUUGUUUGUUUUAUUGUUUUGUUUUGUUUUUAGAGAGAGAGAAAAUUUUUAAUAUUUAUUUUUUAGUUUUCAGUGGACACAUCAUUAUUUUACUUUUAUGUGGUGCUGAGGAUCGAACCCAGAGCCCCGCGCAUGCCAGGCGAGCACGUUGCCAUUCGAGCCACAUCCCCAGCCCAGGUCUUUUGAUUUUCUGUAAUUUAGUUGGGUGGUCCUACCACUGGGAGCAGGGAAAAAUCAGAAUAUCUAUCAGGAAGCUAGGGAAAGUUUGCUGCUUGGAGGGCUUGAGGGAGAGACCAGAACACCAGAAAGACACCAAACCUUGAGCCCCACCUGAGCAGGACAGAUGCAGAGAAUGGGAAUUUCUAAACACCAGGGGGAUUAUUUAAAGGACAGUCUUACAAAGAUACUGUUUUCUGAAGGAGGAGGAAAAAUAGCAAAGAAGAAAGAUGGACCCUUUGUCAAUCUGACACACUGUCUUCAGAUACAGAAAAAAGAGGAAGGAAAAGGGGGAAAUACCAGAGUCCUGCAAAACAAAAAGAAUCACAAAUGAAGAGGACUUGACAACAUUGGCACAGGAACCCAGACAACACUUAAUAGGCUGUCUAGACUUUCCUAGAAUGAAGGAAAAGGAUGCCACUAAAGUGGAACCCAAUAACACACAAAUGAACAAAGGAAUGUGAAAUCCACAGAGGGAGGAAACCCCUCACCUCUGCCGCCACCCCUCGGCCCCCGAACCCAAGCAAACCUGAGUUUGGAGGAAACUAAGUUGUGCUUCCAACAGAAUUAGAUACAGUCCAGGGGCAGGCGUGUCCCUGAGAAGUCACCUAUUACCAGAAGUUCAAAACCAAAGAACAGAACUGGCAUCAGCCAGAAAUGAGAAAAGUUGAUUGAACUCAGGAAAAAAGUGAAAGAAAAAAAAUAAAAUAUGCGGAAGCGAGAAUAAAUGCAAAUGAAAAUUUAGUGAGGGACAUUUAAAAUCAGAGAAUGGGAAGGGCAUGCAGAAGCACAAGAAGACAGAGAGAGGGUGGUGAGAGGAGGCACCCAGGCCACCUGGGCUUUGGGACCCAAAGCCUAGCUAGCACAGCAGAGCAUUGAACUUGGUGUCCCCUAACCAUAUUCUAAAACUGCAUGGUCACAGAUGGCUGCAGUCACUCUUUCCUGAGACAGCUGAUGGCACUAAAAAAGAAAUCUACAAUCUUCUAUAAGAGGUCUAGAGUGCUCCUGCAGGAGUCCAAUCAUUAAGGAAGCAAAAUCCAGAGGCAAUCAGAGAAGAGCUCCUCAGCAGCUCUGUGCAGUUCUGGGCGGGGCAAGCGGCUCAGCACUCUGCUGCUUCCCUAUCUGCAAAAUGGGGACGCCCUAUAGGGUUUCUCCAGGAUCUGCCUCAUAAGCUGCUUGGCAAAUUAAGCAAGGGGGAGCCCCAGAGCUCUGCUCCAUUUGCCCUUUCUCUUCCAAAAGUACCUGGAGCUAAGGGAGACCCCUCCCACUAUGUGCAACCAUGUGCUCUGCUGGGUGGUCCUUUGUCUCCUCAGAGCAGGACUCAUGGAUGGUGGCAUCACUCAAACUCCAAAGUUCCUGUUCAGAAAGGAAGGACAGGGUGUCACCCUGGGGUGUGAACAGAAUUCGGGUCAUAAUGCCAUGUAUUGGUACCGGCAGGACCCAGGGCUGGGGUUGAGACUGAUCUACUACUCAACAGUGGAAAAGGAUGUCCAGGAAGGAGACCUAGCUGAGGGCUAUGGUGCCUCCAGGGAGCAGAAGCCUUCCUUUCCCCUCUCCGUGACAUCAGCUGAGAAGAAACACACUUCCCUCUAUCUCUGUGCCAGUAGCUUAGCACAGUGGGGCACAGCCACCUCUUCUCUGUACAGAUAAGUUCCCCAAGCCCUGCUUUCCCCACCAGGUGGCUCUUCUGUCCCCAGUCCCUGCCCUGCCCUCUUCCACCACAGCCAGGCACCCAAAGCAAAGCAGCUACUGCCACCAGGGAACUCUGUGGGAGGGCAGGAACUUCACUCAGCCCCCAAGUUGAUUUUAAAAGAACAUGUGUUUACACAC